rnacentral:rRNA from 1 species
AUGAAAAUAGAAGGUAAGAUCAUGACAAUCACUAUGGAUAAUGCUUCCUCAAAUGAUAAUGCUGCUAAGAGAUUGAUGGACAAGAUCAUUGCUAGGAAAUCGGCUAAAUUUAUUCCUACGUACUUCCAUGUUCGCUGUUGUGCGCACAUUGUCAAUUUGAUAGAUGGCAUUGCUCUAUUGCAAACUUUGAUCAAUAAGCUUAGGGAUACUGUCAAGUAUUUGAAAAAAAUCUCCAACACGCAUGUACAAAUUGUUGAUGAUUUGCAAGUCUCCGAAUAUGGAAGUUGGGAGAGGUUUAUGCCUGGAUGUUGCUACUAG